GAUGAGAACGUAGCAAAAUGCGAUAAGUAAUGUGAAUUGCAGAAUUCAGUGAAUCAUCGAAUCUUUGAACGCACAUUGCGCCCGCCAGUAUUCUGGCGGGCAUGCCUGUUCGAGCGUCAUUUCAACCAUCAAGCCCCAGGCUUGUGUUGGGGACCUGCGGCUGCCGCAGGCCCUGAAAACCAGUGGCGGGCUCGCUAGUCACACCGAGCGUAGUAGCAUACACAUCGCUCAGGGCGUGCUGCGGGUUCCGGCCGUUAAACCCCUUUUUUACCCAAGGUUGACCUCGGAUCAGGUAGGAAGACCCGCUGAACUUAAGCAUAUCAAUAAGCGGAGGA
rnacentral:misc_RNA from 1 species